rnacentral:misc_RNA from 1 species
GAUGAAGAACGUAGCGAAAUGCGAUAAGUAAUGUGAAUUGCAGAAUUCAGUGAAUCAUCGAAUUUUUGAACGCACCUUGCGCCCUUUGGCUAUUCCGAAGGGCAUGCCUGUUUGAGUAUCAUGAAAACCUCAACUGUCAUGGCUUGCCAUGAUGAGCUUGGACUCUGGGGGUCUUGCUGGCUUUACGGUCAGCUCCUCUCAAAUAAAUCAGCUUGCCGGUGUUUGGUGGGAUCACAGGUGUGAUAACUAUCUACGCUUGUGGUUUUCCGCCAGGUAACCUUCAGCAAUGGAGGUUCGCUGGAGCUCAUAAAUGUCUCUCCUCAGCGAGGACAGAUUUUGACCGUUUGAUCUCAAAUCAGGUAGGACUACCCGCUGAACUUAAGCAUAUCAAUAAGCGGAGGA